rnacentral:rRNA from 1 species
UACAGAGGGUGCAAGCGUUGUUCGGAAUGACUGGGCGUAAAGCGUGUGUAGGUGGUUGGAUAAGUUAGAUGUGAAAUCCCCGGGCUUAACCUGGGAACUGCGUCGAAAACUAUUCAGCUAGAGUACUGUAGAGGAUAGUGGAAUUUCCAGUGUAGCGGUGAAAUGCGUAGAUAUUGGAAGGAACACCAGUGGCGAAGGCGACUAUCUGGACAGAUACUGACACUGAGACACGAAGGCGUGGGGAGCAAACAGG